rnacentral:rRNA from 1 species
UACGUAGGGCGCAAGCGUUAUCCGGAAUUAUUGGGCGUAAAGAGCUCGUAGGCGGUUUGUCGCGUCUGCCGUGAAAGUCCGGGGCUCAACUCCGGAUCUGCGGUGGGUACGGGCAGACUAGAGUGAUGUAGGGGAGACUGGAAUUCCUGGUGUAGCGGUGAAAUGCGCAGAUAUCAGGAGGAACACCCGUGGCGAAGGCGGCUCCCUGGGACGGUACUGACGCUGAGACGCGAAAGCGUGGGGAGCGAACAGG